GACGAACGCUAGCGGCGGGCUUAAUACAUGCAAGUUUAGGGGUUCAGCAAUGGACACCGGCGGACGGGUGCGUAACACGUAUGCAACCUGCCCUUUACUGGAGGAUACUCCGGAGAAAUUCGGCACAACACUCCAUAUACUCAUACUUUCGCAUGGGAGAAUGAGGAAAGGUUACGGUAAAGGAUGGGCAUGCGUCUGAUUAGCUAGUUGGCGAGGUAACGGCUCACCAAGGCGACGAUCAGUAGCUGGUCUGAGAGGAUGAUCAGCCACACUGGCACUGAGAUACGGGCCAGACUCCUACGGGAGGCAGCAGUAGGGAAUAUUGGUCAAUGGGCGAAAGCCUGAACCAGCCACGCCGCGUGCAGGAGAAGGUCCGUACUGGAUUGUAAACUAGCUUUUGCCUAAGGGAUAAAGGAGA
rnacentral:rRNA from 1 species